ACUUCACUCGUCCCCUGACAACAACAGAAGUUCGUCCCGUUAACAAGGUAUGGAGAAGAUGACAAGAUAUGAAGAGGUGGUUCACCAGGCCCGAGAAGCCUUCCACUCCGGUCGAACUCGGGAUAUUGAGUUCCGCAAGAAGCAGCUUAAGGCCCUCAAACGUAUGUAUGAGGAGAAUGAAUCGAUGUUCUGCGCAGCCCUUGCCAAAGAUUUACAUAAGCCAAAACAGGAAAGUGUGUUGCUUGAACUAAAUCUGUUAAAAGAUGACAUCACACACAUCCUUGCCAGGCUUGAUGAAUGGGCUAAGCCAGAAAAGAUCGCAUCAAAUUUGGUGACCAUGUUUGACACUCCUUUGAUAUACCAUGACCCCUAUGGUGUAGUGCUGGUUAUGGGAGCUUGGAAUUACCCACUUCAGCUGCCUCUUCUUCCUAUGUCAGGUGCCAUUGCUGCUGGAAACUGUGUGAUCGUCAAACCAUCUGAGGUUUCACCUGCCACAGCUCAGACAAUUGCUGAACUUAUUCCAAAAUAUUUGGAUAGUGAUUGUUAUCAUGUGGUAUGUGGUGGUAUUCCUGAAACAGAAGAGCUCCUCAAACAGCGAUUUGACUACAUCUUCUACACUGGAUCACCCCAAGUUGGGAAGAUUAUCAGAGAUGCAGCCAAUAAACAUCUCACCCCAACUACUCUCGAGCUGGGGGGAAAGAGUCCUGUCUACAUUGAUGACACUGUGAACAUGGACAUCGCAGUUCGUCGCAUUAUGUGGGGAAAGUGCAUCAAUCUUGGCCAAACCUGCAUUGCCCCUGACUAUAUCCUGUGUUCAAAGGAAGUUCAGGAAAAGUUUGUGAACAAAGCAAGGGAGGUACUGAAGGAAUGGUAUACUGAAAACCCUCAAAAGUCUCCAGAUUUGUGCAGGAUUGUUACAGAUAAACAUGUCAGUCGUCUAGAAGAGUAUCUCAAGGAUGGGACGGUAGCUGUUGGCGGAGAAGUGGAUAAGGAAGACAAGUGGAUUUCCCCGACCAUCCUUGUGGAUGUUAACCCUGAGAGCAAGGUUAUGACUGAAGAGAUUUUUGGCCCCAUCAUGCCCAUUGUAAAUGUCAACUCGGCAUAUGAGGCUAUCAACUUCAUCAAUAAAAGAGAGCAUCCCCUCUGCUGCUAUAUAUUCACCACAGACUCAAAGACAAGGAAAGCUAUUACAAAGGAUGUUUCAACAGGAUCUAUAUGUGUUAAUGAUUGCAUAGUUCAUUUCUCUAUUCAUGACCUACCAUUUGGUGGAAUUGGAAACAGUGGUAUGGGAGCUUACCACGGCAAAGCUUCUUUCGACACUUUUACUCACCGUAAAUCCUGCCUUAUCCGGAACUACAACAAGAUUGCCGAUGCUAUUGGAGCCAAGCGUUACCCACCAUACAGUGAGGGUAACAUGAAGUUCCUCUCCAAUAUGCUCAAAGAGCGAGCAGCUCCCAGCUUAAAGUACCUGCCAUAUCUUCUUACGUUUGGCCUUGGUGUUGCUUCCGUGUUUGCUGUAAAGGAAAUUGCCAAGGGUGGUUUACAAGAAUGGUUGAAUCGUAGAGUUGGCCCACUUUCAGCUUUUCGACCAUCCAGGUCUUAGAACUUUCAUAGAAGUUAUUCCUCACACUUAAAAAUAUUGAAUUAAAAAGUCAAGCAGUUGGAGCAGAUGACGAUUAGGUGAAAUCGGGAAGGCCAGUAUUGUGUUUAUAAUGGAACGUGCAUAAAUACUGUGUAAGGGAAUUAUUUAACUAUAUAUUAAAAAUAUCAUUUAGUGCAAGGGCCUUCCAGCCAAAGGGAAGACAGAUGAUAAUUUGUCUGUAAUACUGCAGACCAUAUAUAUAUUUUUUCAAAUAAAUUGUUCCAAAUAUGCAGAAAAAACAUCUACUCUGUUUUGUAUGGAAACUAUGUCAGCUUAUAAUCACAGCAUCAUGUUUCCUCUUUAAGAUUUAAUUAUUUUGUUAAGUAUUGUAAAGCCUUUUUUUAAGAUUUAUAUCAAAUUAAAGAAUUUUAUGUGAAUGAAAUGUAUUUGUAAUGCUAUAUUUGUAACUCCUCAUCUUGCUUUGUCAGACCACUAGGGCAGUGAGGCUGUGUACAAAAUCCUCCAAUACCUUCAUUAUCUAUAUAGAAUGUAUACUUUAUAGCUCAUUGCAAUAUUAAUAUACCAGUGCCUUUAAAAUAUAUACUACACAUGUUCUGCAAAUGUAAUUUACCUGCAAGUGACAAACGUAAAACUAAUCUUGAAUAACAACAACAAAGCAUCAUAAAAUUGGUUACCAUUUAGCAUAGGAUUGUCAGUGAUUAUCAUUGUAUGCAAAUACCCCUGUGACAUCAUCUUUUCCUACUGGCCUAGCUGCAGAGGUUGGGUAGACAAACGAUCUGGACUUGUAAUGACCACUGAAAUUGGGGUUUUGAAAGGUAAAACAUCUUGUCCAACUUGCUGUAUGAGGAGUUAUGAACAUAGCAUAGGUUAAAUAAUUCCACAAACCUUGGAUCUGAU